rnacentral:rRNA from 1 species
UCAGACGAUGCGUCAUGCAUAUCAAUAAGCGGAGGAAAAGAAACUAACAAGGAUUCCCCUAGUAACGACGAGUGAAGCGGGAAGAGCUCAAAUUUGAAAUCUUAAAGGGUUUCCCUUUACGAAUUGUAGUUUAAAGAAGUGUUUUCUGUUGAGGUUUUGGUAAAAGUUCUUUGGAAUAGGACAUCAUAGAGGGUGAGAAUCCCGUAUUUGACCUUUACUUUCAACUUUGUGAUACACUUUCAAAGAGUCGGAUUGUUUGGGAAUGCAGUCCAAAAUGGGUGGUAAAUUUCAUCUAAAGCUAAAUAUUGGCGAGAGACCGAUAGCGAACAAGUACCGUGAGGGAAAGAUGAAAAGAACUUUGAAAAGAGAGUUAAACAGUACGUGAAAUUGUCAAAAGGGAAGCGUUUGACACCAGUGUUGUUUUUCUGAAAAUCAAUUAAAGAACUGUUUAUGCUAAGCUGUUUAGACUUUAUCAGCUAUCUGUUUAGUUUUGAGCUUUUCUUUAAUGCACUUUUCAGUUAACAAGUCAACAUCAAUUUCUUUUGCUGUAAAAAAGCUUGAGGAAGGUGGCUUGAGAUUCGUCUUAAGUGUUUAUAGCCUCUUGCCUAUGCAGUCGGAGAGAUUGAGGUCUGCAGCGUAGAUCCUUCGGGGCUAAAUGCAUUUGUGCUAAGUUAUAGCAUUUUAUAGACAACUUGUUGACUACGAUUUGUCUUGUAGCUUACUCGCUUAUGUUAUUUUACCUACGCUUAGGAUGUUGACACACGCGCGUGCUCG